UUAAGCUCACUUCCCAUGCAGGAAGAGAACGUCAAUAUCAUGCUGCCCUCAUUAGCAGGAUUAACAACUUCAAAACCGCUGCUAGGAAUCUUUUAUAGUUGUAGGCUGGUUGUGAAAUUUGAAGUGUAUAGGAGCCACAACACUGGAUGAAUAUAGGAAGCACAUCGAAAAGGAUCCAGCUCUGGAGAGGCGAUUCCAGCCAGAUGAAACCAUACAAAUACUGAAAGGACUUAGAGAACGCUAUGAAAUUCACCACAAGCUCCGUUAUACAGAUGUGCAGCUGUCACAUUUGAACGUUCUGCUCCCUUUUCGGUUCAUUUUACCUAUUCUAUUCAUUUAUGCUGGAGAUCAGACAAGUUUCUUUUUAUUUUGGAACUCUGAUGUAGUUGUUGUUUUGUUCAUGCUGUGUAUCUUAAAUAUUUUCUAGCUUAAAAUAAUUUGUAUUUCCUGCAGUGAUCGAUUUUUGUCAGACAAAGCUAUAGAUUUAAUUGAUGAAGCAGGCAGGCUCUCGAGUCCGUCUUCAACAGGCACAGGUAUUUGUCUACCUAUCCAGAUCUUUUGUCUAUUAUUGGGCUAAUUUUGCUAGAUUUACAUGCUUCUAGUUACCUGAAGAAACAAUUUCAGGCCAUUGUUGCCACCUCUUAUCCUUGUCCUCCUUGUCACUGUGAUUGCUCUCUUCAACCCCUUCUUACUCUCCCCAAGGAGGUCUCCACCCCUGUCCCAAAGUUCACAAGGGAGUUAUCUACCCAAUCCAGUGACUUCAAUAUACUCUCUUCUUGAACUCUCAGGAUUUGAGCCAUUUUGGGAUCAAGUUAUUAGUCACUUUCUCGAGGUUGAUUGGUUCCAAGACUACAAACUAUCCAAGUCUCUUGAACCAUCACAGGAACUGAGACCUUCUACCAUUUAUCUGGCAAUUCAUAAUGUAUUAAAAGAGGUCUUAAUGUGUGUUACACGAUAUGCAGAUGGAAGUCAAUGUUGAUAACUUCAGGUCUGUUGAAUGUUCUGUCAUAUCUCCACUAAAGGUGCUUUAUUUUUCUACUCAAAGUGUAGAUGUUCGUGUUGGAUCUUUGAAAAUUCUUUUGCAUGUCUUAGAGAGAUAUGGACAGAAACUUCAUUACAGCUGGCCUAAUAUACUUGAAAUGUUGAGGUUGGCCUUAUUAUUCCCUUAAUGUUCAUCUCUAUUGGUAAUCCUUUGGAUAAUCUAUUGUACAAUAUAACAAGUCUAUGUACCUAAUUCCACAAGAAUUAAAUGUGAGAUGAACAAUUUGAAUUUCGAAAUUCAUACACCUGUAUGUAAAACAAAAAAAAUAUCCUUUCUAAGAUGGUUUCUUAAAAAAAUCAUCUUAGAAAGUUUCUAUUUUCUAAGACGAAUCCUUCAAAGAACUGGCUUACAAAUUGG